rnacentral:rRNA from 1 species
UACGUAGGCAGCAAGCGUUGUUCGGAGUUACUGGGCGUAAAGAGUGCGUAGGUGGUGCCCUAAGUCUGUUGUGAAAUCUCCCGGCUUAACUGGGAGGGUGCGGUGGAAACUGGGGUGCUUGAGUGUGGGAGAGGUAAGCGGAAUUCCUGGUGUAGCGGUGAAAUGCGUAGAUAUCAGGAGGAACACCGAUGGCGAAGGCAGGUCUCUGGGCUGACACUGACGCUCAUGCACGAAAGCGUGGGGAGCAAACAGG